AUGAACCAUGCCUGCAACACAAAAGUAGAACCCUUCCCUAGGGUUGACGAGCCUCUCGACCCGCAUGAUGACGUGUUUCCCGGUGGCCGUCGGAUCAAGAGUGGGAGGAGCUCGGUCGUCGGAUUGAGCCAGUGCGACUCGCCCCGUGGAGGGUAUUUUGGGUAUUUCGCAUCAUGGGUAUGUGCGUGUCGAUGGGUGGGUGGGCGCUUCCCGUCGGGCUUCUCUCCUUCCGGGUCCUCACUUCCCCGAUUGGGUGAAACCCUAGCCACCACUCCCCGUCGGGCUUCUCUCCUCCAUUCCCCAUCGCGCCCCUCUCUUCCAAUCCCUGUAGCCGACGACGAGAUCUUUCCCUUCGCCGAGCUUGCCACCAUCGCUGCUCUCCCCUCGCCAUCGCCGGGAGGAGUGUGCAAGCCGCCGCUUGCGUCAUUUCUCCGCAGCCGCCACCGCCCCCUUCCCUUCCAAACCCGCGGAGAUGACGGCGCCGGCGUCGGCGCCGGCGCUCGCGGUGGUCGGGUACUGGGCUGCCCGGCAGCCGCGGGGCCCAGACGCGCUACAUCGUCAAGGACCUCAAGCUGUCGACGGCGGGGACUGAGUCACCGCCGCAUCAUCUUCUCCUUCUCCCCAACACCGCAUCUCCUCCUCCCCAACACCGAUGAGUGCGGGUCGCCGUCCCACCAGAUGAGAUGGGGCAGCAACCACGCCCCCUUCACCUCUUCUACCCAGCCGUGCCACUCGGGACGACAAGAUCCAGCCGCGGCGGCCGAGAUCCAGCUGGCUGCCAUUGAUAUGAGGAGCGCUCGCGCCGCUGCUCCGCCGUUCGUCGUCCACUUGGCCGCAACCAUCCACAAGAAGAGCAUUCUUACUAUAUCACCUGAAUUUCUAAUCUUAUGUUCCUGCUAUUAUGCUCUUGCCGCAGGGGUGAUGCUGUCACUUCCAUGGUCCACCAGAAUGAAGAUCGCACUCAGUGCUGCAAGGGGGCUUGCCUUCCUGCACGAAGCUGAGAAGCCGCGAGUUGCUGGCUUUGAGGCCGAUGACGGUGUGUUGUUUUCUCUGGUGGUCCGGCCAGCUACGCCCAUCCUGGAGGCCGACAUGCCUUCUCCGGCUGAAAUCCCCUCGCCCUGGCCCCACUCGCUACAUGGCGCUGAACAUUCAACCAAGGAGGGGUGGUGCCUCUUCUCCGGCCCGCACAUACCAUCCCCAACACCAACAUCGGAUGACUCGAAGCGAGACAAUGGAUCAUGCCAGAUAUUCAUGGCGCUGCAUAGGCAUAGUUCAGUUCCUGGGAGCACUAGCUGCUGCCGUAUACAUGUAAAGAAGACCAUAUCAAUAUAUAGUCCACCGCUAAUGAAAGUUCAAGAUGGCAAAGAAGUACAUUUAUUACAACCAUGCAUGAUACAUGCUGAUAAACAGAAUGAUAAAAACUGGUACAUCUCUAAUAAAAGUUCCUUGUUGGUGGGCCAUGUUACAUUGCCAUUACUUCGUUUGUGCGCUCUGCUCAUGCGGAGCUUCCAGCCAUGGGGUCGUUUGGCACCGGUAUAUGUGAUUAGUGGAUCUUCAGUCUGCGGGCACCGAGGAUACAUACAUAGUGGGGUGAGUGCUUAUUUGCUGACAGGCCAUGUUAAAUUGUCACUGUUUGGUAUGGGUCGCUUCAUUUUAGAUCAUUCAGAUGGAAUCUCCUGCAAGAUUGGUACCUGUGAUGAAGUGAUAGAAAGUCUUUGUCAAUUGUUGUACCCGACCCACUGGUGGUUUGGUGCCGGUGUACGCAAUGAUUGGAUCAUCGGUUCAUGGAAGAGUCGAUGGAGGGCGUGCAGGAUUAUCAAGUUUCAGCAGCCAAUUCAAAUCCGCGGCAUGUGUGCUGAUGAGACAGGUGCCGCAACUGUGAGACCCAAGUCAAGUCUCCCCCCCAAAAAAUCAGUCUCAUUUGGCACGAUGCCAUGGAGGUGCUCACGCAGUUCGUCGCGGCGGCGCAGGUGGCUCGCAGGUCGACAGUGGGCGGCGGGCAUCCAGUGUGUGGUCGACUGGUUGGAGCAGUGCGCGGCCACGCAGACCUCACGGCACGCACUGACACAGCAGCAACAUGCAAGCAGCACGCAUGGCACACAACAUAGAGGUGAGGAAGAGGCAACCGCCCGUGUGCUCGCCAUCCCGCAGUUGACGACGAUCGAGGUGGGCAAGGAACAGGAGUGCGUCGUCACGUCCGCUUUGGCUCUAGUAUAG
rnacentral:rRNA from 1 species